CAGUCGCCACGGGAAUACGUAGGGUGCAAGCGUUAAUCGGAAUUACUGGGCGUAAAGCGUGCGCAGGCGGUUAUAUAAGUCAGAUGUGAAAUCCCCGGGCUCAACCUGGGAACUGCAUUUGAGACUGUAUGGCUAGAGUGUGUCAGAGGGGGGUAGAAUUCCACGUGUAGCAGUGAAAUGCGUAGAUAUGUGGAGGAAUACCGAUGGCGAAGGCAGCCCCCUGGGAUAACACUGACGCUCAUGCACGAAAGCGUGGGGAGCAAACAGGAUUAGAUACCCCUGUAGUCCCUGUCUCUUAUAC
rnacentral:rRNA from 1 species